rnacentral:lncRNA from 1 species
AUUUUUUGGCUUUAGCUUCCGCCUUUCUUGAUAGGUCGUUGAAAAUUGAUUUUGAGAAGUCGAUUUUUAUUUUAAUUUGGGUUUUUAAUGGGAAAAAUUUCUCUUGGCUUUUGUGGGCUAUAAAGGUGGAGGGAAGUUGUGGGUUGAGAACAGGGAAUUGCAGGGCAAAAGGGGGCUCACCUGGGUUUAAAGUUGCGAUCUUGGGAGCUGCAGGAGGCAUUGGGCAGCCUCUCGUAUGCUCAUGAAGAUGAAUCCAUUGGUCUCAGUUCUUCAUCUCUAUGAUGUGGUCAACACUCCUGGAGUCACCGCAGAUAUCAGUCACAUGGACACCGGUGCAGUGGUAAAUUUCCCAUGUUAAUUAAUAACCAAAUUGCUGAUUUGUUAAUGUGUAUCUCAUGUACCCGCUUGUCAAAGAAAUCAUGUUAAUCGUUAAUGGAAAGAGAGAGAUGAGAUGGAAGCUCUUGAAUGAGUUGUUCCACCGCGGUACUUUGUAGAGUAAGGAACUUUGUGUCAGUAGAAACUUGCGUCAGUUUACAGAGUUGCAGUUGAAAUCAGCAUAGGGGAAGACGAGUUAACAGAUUGUCGUCAUUGUACAAUGUUAAAAAUGUGAAAGUUAAUGAAGAAAGAGAAAAUAUGGGUAAAUAUUCUGUGUCUCGUAUGUUUAGCAAAUAUCCACUUUAUGAUUCUCCAAUGCCUCUUCGUCACAUAUGUGGCCUUAAGGUAUGGGAAAAGACUGUAACAUGGUAGCAUUGUCUCAUGUAUGGUUUACUUUGUUGGUACAACUUAGUUCACUUCAACUUAACUUUGUUGGUACAUCCAGGGAUCAGGAAUUUGAUAACAUGAAAUUCAAAGCAACGAUGAGUGAAAAUUGAGAUGUCCCUUUUUGUGCUAUAUAAGUUCUUAUGUUCUAAAUUGUUCAAUUUGGCAUAGACUGCUAAUGUUUGGUUUACAUUUCCAGGUGCGUGGUUUUCUAGGGAAAGAGCAAUUGGAGGAUGCCCUUAUUGGCAUGGACCUUGUGAUCAUUCCUGCUGGGGUUCCUAGGAAACCAGGAAUGACUAGAGAUGAUCUUUUUAAUAUCAAUGCUGGAAUUGUUAAGACUCUAUGUGAAGGAAUUUCAAAGUGCUGUCCGAAAGCCAUUGUCAACUUAAUUAGUAACCCGUUAACUCCACAGUUCCCAUUGCUGCAAGCCUAUAAGUAUUUUUUUUCUAAAUAAUUAUAUUUGGCAUAUUUGCCAAUUUAAUUUUGCCAUAGAACACCAUCUUCCACUAUGUUUUGGAUUCACUUGUCAAUGAAAAUAUAUAGUGUGGCAUGAUAAAACUCAAUCAUCUAGAGCGAUAAAUUUGGUAAUUUCGACAAUUGUAGAAAUGUCUUAUAUUAAAAAAAAAUUUGUAGAAAUCUUGUUCCAGUUUUUUACGGGGAGGAAGGAAAGAAAUGAACUUGCCUUGCCAGUCGAACCCAAGACGUCACUCAUCACCUGACAUUGUGUCCAUUUCAGCAGCCCAAAUGUUUAGCUACCGUAGUUCCAUUGGGCUUAUAUUUGCUGAGGUCCAAUUACAAAUAUGUCCAGAGAAGGCCCGCUUCUGUAGAAAGUUCGCGUUACUUCUCUUUCUUUUCGAAGUCAGACAAUUUGCUUAAUUUUGCUGCAAGAAUAGUAGUUUCUCUGGCAAUUGGCAAAGCUUUAGCUCCAUGUAACUGUGUAAACUAAAGAAUUAACCACUUUGCACAUUGUGUAAUUUCAUGGCGAGGGUUAUGAUUUGGGCUAAGUAAGAAGCUGGACUCAGCUAGUAGAUCUUCUACAUCUCAUUGCGUAAAGUAAAGAAAUAGCAUAUACACCGUUAUUCAUCUUAAAUUUAAAUUUGAAGUCUAAAAAAAUUUUGUUCAUCAUCUGUCAUGCACUUGAUGAUGAUAUCGUAUAUAUUGUUAGCUGCUGUUAGCGUACGUAAUAUUAACUCUAAUGUCCCGUUUAAUAACUCAAUUCAAUAUUUAAAUUUAAUGAAUUCAAAUUUUAAUAUGUUAAGAUGCAUUUGAUAACAAAAAAUAGAGUAUUUGAGUUAAUUGAGUGACACUGAAUUCUUUAGAUAAAAUUUGCCUACAAAAUUAAGUGAUAAUCUAUUCACUUAUCAUUGAAUGCGAUAUGCAUUCAAAUAUAUUAGAAUUAAUAUUUAAAAAUUUAAUAAAUUCAGACUGGAUUUUAAAUUUUAAAUAUUAGUUUUAUCAAACGCACGUAAAUAAUAAGUGAUGUGUAUAAUAAAAGUACAUAAACCACGUCUUCCGCAAAAUAAAAUGGAAAUAGUCUCUAUUAAUUAACAGUCACAGGCCACAGCCCAUACAUAAAUGAAAAUGAACACUGUCUGACACAUAUCCAAUUUCACACAUCCCAACAAGCUCAAUCGUGAUCUUAUGCGUUCUCGGCCUCAAUUCCCUUUCUCUUCUUCAUUGGAUAUAUCUCUACCAACUUCCUUUUUCCAUUCCGCUUGAAUUAUAAGGAGAAUUAUAUAUUGAGUGCAGAAAUUUUGGCCUACACUCCACGACUAUUCUCUUCUUCUUCUUCCAAAUUUGAUUGCGUAAGAAACACGCCAAGGAGCUUCCAGUCCUUCCCCAUCGUGCAUUAUUAACGAAAUAGAGCAAAAACGAUACCAGCAUGGAGUCCGGUGCAAGUGUUAAGCAAAGAAUUGCCAGAAUUUCAGCCCACCUCAACCCUCCAGCCAUUUCCCAGGUGGUUUUCUCUCCUUUCCUCCUUAAUUAGCUUUGGUUUUAUGAAUUUUUUGGCUUUAGCUUCCGCCUUUCUUGAUAGGUCGUUGAAAAUUGAUUUUGAAAGAAGUCGAUUUUUAUUUUAAUUUGGGUUUUUAAUGGGAAAAAUUUCUCUUGGCUUUUGUGGGCUAUAAAGGUGGAGGGAAGUUGUGGGUUGAGAACAGGGAAUUGCAGGGCAAAAGGGGGCUCACCUGGGUUUAAAGUUGCGAUCUUGGGAGCUGCAGGAGGCAUUGGGCAGCCUCUCGUUAUGCUCAUGAAGAUGAAUCCAUUGGUCUCAGUUCUUCAUCUCUAUGAUGUGGUCAACACUCCUGGAGU